CCUACGGGGGGCAGCAGUGGGGAAUAUUGGACAAUGGGCUCACGCCCGAUCCAGCAAUAUCGCGUGGGUGAAGAAGGGCCUGUGCUUGUCAAGCUCUUUCGUCGAGCGUCCAGGACUCGAGGAAGAAGCCCCGGCUAACUCCGUGCCAGCAGCCGCGGUAAGACGGGGGGGGCAAGUGUUAUUCGGAAUGACUGGGCGUAAAGGGCACGUAGGCGGUGAAAAGGGUGGAAAGUGAAAGUCGCCAAACUGGCGGGGUGCUUUCUUGACCAUUUCACUUGAGUGAGAUAGGGGAGAGUGGAAUUUCGUGUGGAGGGAUCAAAUCCUAAGAUAUACGAAGGAACGCCAACCGCGAAGGCAGCUCUCUGGUCCCACCGACGCUGGGGUGCGAAAGCAUGGGGAGCAAACAGGAUCAGAUACCCUUGUAGUC
rnacentral:rRNA from 1 species